CCGGCGACCGGCGGACGGGUGCGUAACGCGUAUGUAACCUACCUUUGACAUGGGGAUAACAUCGAGAAAUUGGUACUGAUACCCCAUAACAUCACCGGAGGCAUCUUCGGUGGUUGAAAACUCAGGUGGUCAGAGAUGGACAUGCGUUGUAUUAGCUAGUUGGUGAGGUAACGGCUCACCAAGGCGACGAUACAUAGGGGGACUGAGAGGUCAACCCCCCACAUUGGUACUGAGACACGGACCAAACUCCUACGGAAGGCAGCAG
rnacentral:rRNA from 1 species